ACGCUCGACACCUACCGGAGGCAGCAGUAGGGAAUCUUCCACAAUGGACGCAAGUCUGAUGGAGCAACGCCGCGUGAGUGAAGAAGGUCUUCGGAUCGUAAAACUCUGUUGUUAGAGAAGAACACGAGUGAGAGUAACUGUUCAUUCGAUGACGGUAUCUAACCAGCAAGUCACGGCUAACUACGUGCCAACAGCCGCGGUAAUCUGAGCGGGCUGGCAAGGC
rnacentral:rRNA from 1 species